AGACAGAGACAGACAAGACAAGAUAGCUCCGGCCAGUCAGUAGCCAAAGAAACAGAUUUCAACUCAAACCAGCAAUUCCACAUUCGAGUUACCUCUAUUUCCAGGUCUUUGUAUUUUGAAAGUUUUUCCAUUCCUUUUCGAGAAACGUUGUCAUCUGUUGGUACUGAUAUCAUUAUUAUGAUUAUAAAGAUUGACAUAACUCUUCACAAAGGUUCAAAACAUGAGCUGUUCCCAGUAUUGCCACCAACUGAGUACUUCCAAUGAAGUUUGGUAUUGGCAGCUUUUGGUGCCAGAAUAUUGUUUUGUUUGAGAUGGUCCCAAGUGGACUGAUCACAAUAUGUACCACAUUCACUUUUGAGGCUCUUAAUCCCUCCCUCAAAAUUACUGGCCUUGUAUCAAAAUUUAAAACCAUUAUUAUUAUUAUUAUUAUUAUUAUUAUUAUUAUUAUUAUUAAAGGGAGCAAGCUGGCAGAAUCGUUAGCAUGCCAGGCAAAAUGCUUAGCAGUAUUUCGUCUGCUGCUACGUUCUGAGUUCAAAUUCCACCGAGGUCAACUUUUCCUUUCAUCCUUUCGGAGUUGAUUAAAUAAGUACCAGUUAUGCACUGGAGUCGAUGUAAUCAACUUAAUCCCUUCUCCCAAAUUUGAGGCCUUGUGCUUCCAGUAGAAAGGAUUAUUAUUAUUAUCAUUAUUAUUAUUAUUAUUAUUAUUAUUAUUAUUAUUAUUAUUACCAUCAUCGUUGUUGUUGUUGUAACUGGAUUCUAAAGAAAUGUUCCCCACCAUCAUCACCAACAACAACAGCAACUAAAAUCAAGGAAAAAUAAAGUGAUUGGAAGCAAAUAUGUCCUCUCAUAUGUAGUCACAAACCAAAGAUGUCUAAAUGGCAGAUAGUGGAAGGGCAUUCUAAAUGGAAGAGGGGACAAUCUGGUGACUGAAGCUUCCUACCAAACAAAACAACAUUAAAAGAAAUAAUAAUAAAAAAGGUCAAGCAGUCUGACCGUUUGAUAAGCCAACAAUCACAUCAACAACAGCAUCAGAAAAAGAAGAUUCAACAACUGGAGAUAUAAACCGAAAACAGCAGCAUCAAGAACAGAAACAAUGACAACAAGAGUACUCAGAGAGUGCAAACCUCUGCCAAGGCAACACCAAUGAAAUAAGCUCAACUGCUACCACAAAUGAGAAAACUAAAAAUGAACCCAACUGCUCUCAAAAAUUAAGUAAAAAAAAACGGAAAAUAAUCCAGAAUCCUUGUCUGGCACUGGAUCGAUCCUAAAAUCUAAUCAGUUCGUGCCAGUCACGAGGCCAAACAUCCCUGAAAGUUUCAUUUGAAUCCAUCCAGCAGUUCUUUAGAUAUCUUGUCCACGGAUGAACAAGCAAACAUGACUGAAAACAAUAUCUCCACCUUCGCUGUUGUUGUUGGCACUCCGUCGCUUACGACGACGAGGGUUCCAGUUGAUCCGAUCAACGGAACAGCCUGCUCGUGAAAUUAACAUGCAAGUGGUUGAGCACUCCACAGACAUGUGUACCCUUAACAUAGUUCUUGGGGAUAUUCAGCGCGACACAGUGUGACAAGGCUGACCCUUUGAAUUACAGGCACAACAGAAACAGGAAGUAAGAGUGAGAGAAAGUUGUGGUGAAAGAGUACAGCAGGGUUCGCCACCAUCCCCUGCUGGAGCCUCGUGGUGUUUCCACUCAAUAAACACUCACAACGCCCGGUCUGGGAAUCGAAG